ensembl:lncRNA
GACCAGAGCAGACGGCUAGUCUGAGCUAGCGGUAAAUAACUUUACAAUUACACUGUUAUUAUAUAUAUCUAGGCUAUAAGACGAGAUUUUAACGGAUUUAAGUUGUCGAACAGAUAACUUAAAACAUCAGUGACUGUGUUCUGGGACAGUUUAAUGAGUUUAAAGAACGUGAGUAGCCUGCCUCUUGACGCCUAGCCUGGGCGCCAUAUUAGCUCGUAGUGCUCGAGCCAGAGGCAGUCACCAUCGUCCUCGGUGCACACGGGAUGUUUAAAACUUUGCUGAGUUGCCGAGACAGGAGGAUUCCUUUACCUUUCGUUUGGAUAAGACGGAUGGAGAGAAAGCAGUGACGCAAGCGCGAACAGGUCGACACAAGGAGCGGGACUCUCCACUCUCCCAAUUUUCCAUUGCCUCAAGGGAGCGGGUCCUCUUCCACAGAGUCUGCCAUGUUGCACCGCCAUGUUUCUACAGUAGCCCUGAACGGACAAACCACUGGCUUGAGGCAGUUGGCCUUCCCCUCCUUCUGUGGGCCUUCAUCAGUUCUGGGUCAGGUGCAAUGGGGAAAGGUGACUUUGGCAUGGUCAUCCAUCUUGCUGCGGGCCCCACCUGCACAUGAGACACCUGCUUCAGGUGGACUCUGUGACCCCCUUAUGUUUUAGCAGCACCCCGCUCUGGUGUAGUGUGCUCCAACCAUGUUGGAAAAGGACCAGCCUGAGUGCUGACGGC